GACGAACGCUGGCGGCGUGCUUAACACAUGCAAGUCGAACGGAAAGGCCCUGCUUUUGUGGGGUGCUCGAGUGGCGAACGGGUGAGUAACACGUGAGUAACCUGCCCUUGACUUUGGGAUAACUUCAGGAAACUGGGGCUAAUACCGGAUAGGAGCUCCUGCUGCAUGGUGGGGGUUGGAAAGUUUCGGCGGUUGGGGAUGGUCUCGCGGCUUAUCAGCUGGUUGGUGGGGUAGUGGCUUACCAAGGCUUUGACGGGUAGCCGGCCUGAGAGGGUUGCCGGCCACCUUGGGACUGCGGUACGGCCCAGACUCCUACGGGCGGCAGCAGUCGGGAAUAUUGCGCAAUGGGCGGAAGCCUGAUGCAGCAACGCCGCGUGCGGGAUGACGGCCUUCGGGUUGUAAACCGCUUUCGCCUGUGACGAAGCGUGAGUGACGGUAAUGGGUAAAGAAGCACCGGCUAACUACGUG
rnacentral:rRNA from 1 species